UUAGAAGACAGCUAGCCUUGUGGCAAACACAUGCUAUUCUUAUAGGACAACUCUAACAGCUUUUUCAGAGUUACUGUUGGUCACAGAUAAAAAUCAGUUUAAUUCUCCUGGUCUGUUUGCUUGGAAAACAUUCCUAUGCCUAAAUUCCCAAUGUACAACUGUAGAUGUUAGACAGCAUGACAAUGUCAGCGUGAGAACAAAGAAAGAACCAUGACUGUAUAAAUUUAUGAUUCUGUGAAUUCUGUUAUUCCUAUCCCCAACAGUUAUCCAGCUUCUUAUUAACUUAUGGAAGCCAAAGUCCAAAGGAGAGAGGUAGGGCAAAGGUUGUUCAUAGAUAAGACUCUCACAACGUACUAAUCGUUCCUCUAAUUUUAAAGGUUUGAAGAGAUAAUUAUGGUAGAAAGCAAAAGAAACUGAUGAAGAUGCAGAGCAACUGGGAUUCUCAUACAUUGCUGGUGGGGUUGCAAAAUGAUACAACUGCUCAAGACAGUGUGGGGGAUGAGAAUUGGCAACCCCAAAAUGUGUCUGCUUGGCUUAAUUAUUUUUAAGGACAAAAGACUCUGACUCUUCGAAAGAAACUUUGACCUUCCCCCUAACUGCCUAAAAAGAAUUUAAGAUAGAAGGGCCUAUCACUAUAACUAUCCAGGAAGGAGCUAUCACUAAAGAUAAUUCUAGGUAUGAUAGACAGAAAAGCAUCUAGCAAGGGUCAUUUUAUCAAAAGAUCUCUUUUGGGUCCCACUGUCUAUAGAUAGCCCAGCAAACACUGGUUUAUCAAACAUUUGCUUUUCCAUCUCCAUGUAAACUACCUUCCUCCCCUUUGAAGUCCCAAACCACUACCCCCAACAUCCUCCUUUGUCUUUAGCUGAAGAUGAUAUUAAAGGUGGUGGCUUCAGCCAUUCUGGGGAGUUACUCAACUUUCCUGGGUUUCUCCAUGUAUGCAUGUUGUUAAGUUUUUUUUAUUUUCUCCUGUUAUUCUGUCUCAUGUCAAUUUAGUUCUUAGCCCAGCCAGAAGGACCUCGAGGGUAGAGGACUAGUUCUUCCUCCCCUACAACAGCAAAGCAGAACGUUAAACCAAGUGGAGGGCCCUUCUGAGUGCCAUUGCACAUGUUGCACACCCAUGAAGUCAGCCCUGGGUGUGCCCAACAGAAAAGAAAACAUGUGCCCAUACAAAGACUUGUACAUGAAUGCAUAUAUCUGCAUUACUCGUAGUGGUCCCCAAUCUGGAAGCAACCCAAAUAUCUAUCAACUGAUAGAUGGAUUAAAUACAUUGUGAUGUAGCCAUGAAAUAGGCUACUUAGCAAUAAAAAGGAAGAAAAUAUUAAAUCAGACAACAUGCAUGGGUCUCAAAAACUUCCUACUAAAUAAAAUAAGUGAGACACAAAGAGCAAAUAUGGUAUGAUCCUAAUACUAUGACAUUCUAGAAAAGGUAAAUUAUUGGGACAGAAAGCAGAUCAUGGUUGCCUGGGCCAGGGAAUUGGGGAAGGGGCUUGAUCACAAAGGGGCAGGAGGAAACAUUUUUGGAUGAUGAAAAUGCUCUAUUUCUUGGGGGAAUGUUGUGAUGUAUAAAUUAUACUUCAAUGAACCUAGGGAAAAAGACUGAAUAGCAACAGAAAGCUGAGUACAUAUAGAAAGAGAGUUAAGUAUAAGUCACAUUAAUCCAAAACACUUAAAAAUAUACAUGAGUAUCAUUAUGUUGUAUGGGCAUUUUGGUGUAACUGGAUUGAUACUAACAUAAGUGGCAAAGAGUAGGAUUAUUUUUCCAGUCAGCGUACUUUUUUUGUUUGUUUUUUGAGGAAGAUUAGCCCUGAGCUAACUGCUGCCAAUCCUCCUCUUUUUGCUGAGGAAGACUGGCCCUGAGCUAACAUCCAUGUCCAUCUUCCUCUACUUUAUGUGUGGGACGCCUACCACAGCAUGGCGUGCCAAGCAGUGCCAUAUCCACAGCCGGGAUCUGAACCAGCGAACCAUGAGAAGCUGAAGCGGAACGUGCGCACUUAAUCGCUGCGCCACCAGGCCAGCCCCCAGCGCGGGCACAACGCUCUCCAUUAGACAAAAAGACCAUGUGGUGUAAUACUUUUCCUGCGCAUGCUGAGGCCAAGCUCAAUCCUAGGAACAGAGUUCACGAAAGAUCUUGGAACAUGAGAAAAGGCAAGUAGCCCCAACCAUCUCGUUUCACCAAUGCAAGACACAGGCCCAAGAAGGAAGCAGCAUCAUUGAGCGAGGAAGACCGUGUGAAGACCCAGGGGGAGAACGCCAUUGAUGAUGGAAGCAGAUUGGAGUCAUGCAGCUGCUAGCCGAGGAACACCGAGGAUUGCAGCCACCACUAGAAGCUAAGAAGGGGCAAGAAGGAUCCUAGCCAAAGUCUCAGAGGGAACAUGGCCCUACUGUCACCUUGAUUUUGGACUUCUAGCCUCCAGAGCUGUGAGAGAAUAAAUUUCUGUUCUUUUAAGCCA
ensembl:lncRNA